rnacentral:rRNA from 1 species
UCCGGAGGGGGCUAGCGUUGUUCGGAAUUACUGGGCGUAAAGCGCGCGUAGGCGGACCUGCAAGUCGGGGGUGAAAGCCCGAGGCUCAACCUCGGAACUGCCUUCGAUACUGCGGGUCUCGAGUCCGGGAGAGGUGAGUGGAAUUCCUAGUGUAGAGGUGAAAUUCGUAGAUAUUAGGAAGAACACCAGUGGCGAAGGCGGCUCACUGGCCCGGUACUGACGCUGAGGCGCGAAAGCGUGGGGAGGAAACAGG